UUCAUCAGAAAAAAAUGAAAG
rnacentral:piRNA from 1 species